CGGUGAAUGGUGUGGCCGGAUCCCUGGGCCGUGCGCACGGUGCUGAUUAAGCCUGCCCCAGAUUCGAGGGACAGGGAGUACAGGGACAGGGACAGGGAUGACGGCAGGGCGACGGCGGCAUGUUCCGCGCUGCGCCUUAGCGCGGCAGGGUGGUUGACCCAGGUUAUAAAAGUGGGUCGUUGACGGACGCGCACCAGUCUCACGCUUACCCGCUUGGCGGCAUCACCUCCCUUCUUCGCGCGCUCCCUCGCCAGUAAGCUCCCUCGCGAGCGUCCCGGAAACCCCGCGAAAAUCACUCGCCGGAGUUCCGCCGUGAUCCCUGUGAAAUGCGAUCGAAUCCCAUUCUAACCAGUGUCAAUACCGAUUUCAGAGGAAACCGUUCCUCCAAGAUUCACUCUGUGAAACGCGCCUUUUGCAAAGUAACUCAUCGCUAUCUCAAAUUCAUGGAAUUAAACUCUCCGACCCUGUUCAACGCUCAUUCAAACGGUGCGUGAAGUGAUUUGACUCACCAUGCAAAGAGGUCUAGUCGAGUCGUGGAAAAUUGAGUUGUAAAUAAUUUCAAGUGCGUUCAACUCCGUUGUCAAAUGGUGUGUUUGAAGGCAUCGGCGAUCUACUGGAGCUGAAAUAUUUCGGACUUAGGAGUCCCAGGGCGAUUUUCAAAUUCAACCGCUAAAUCGUGACGAAUCUUGUUCACAACACGUGACUCUAUCAGUGCUUAAACUGUGAUUAUUCGAUAAGUCGAGAGCGCUAAAGCAUAUUCGCGAGAUCUAAGAGGAGACGAAUACAAGUCACCGAAUGUGCAUCACAAUGUGUGACACCUGCAAGGCGAGACUCCGCGGCGGGCUAGCCGAGCGGCUAAGUCGGCUCAAGAUCAACGACUUCGGGCCCGAGGGUCUGACCGGGAGCUGCUCCUCCAACUCGGACUUCCUGCACCCCAACUCGGGAAGCGACGGCUACGGGGCCAGCGGCGCCUCCUCCUCCUCCAGCCAUUGCGGAGCCGGCUGUACCUGUUCCGCCUGCUCCGAACACAGUGGAAGCAACGAGAAGCUGGCCGCCGACGAAGACGAUCUCACCUACCGGGUCUUCCGCGACUUCGACUGCGGUCUCGGCUGCACCUGCGAGGAGACACCCGACAACCCGGACCGGAAGCGGGUGGAGAUCCUCCUGCCGGAAGGAGACGACUCGGGGCGCUACUCCUCCGAGGAGAACCUCUCCACGGAGCGAAUGGAGUCUCCGCGUCGCUACCAGAACGUACGGGACACUCAGCAUCCGCUGGCGCGGUACCGUCUCGUCCGUCGCAACUCGGAUUCGAGUAUAUUCGACUACAUCAAUAAACCGGAGCUCCCCGCCUACAAAGAGAGCAGUUUGAGUGCAUCGUCGGACCGGAAAGCUCAACGCGAGGCCGGAAAGUCUCAGGGUAAACAGAAGAAGGAGAAGAAGACUAAGAAGGAGAAACAGGUGAAGACUAUCUGGAGGCGGCCAACACCUUACAUUUACGUCACCGACUCGUACGGGUUCAAGGUACGCAGACCGCUACACCCGCCGGAAUAUUUAGAUAAGCAGAAUUAUUUGUACUUGGUCUCCUACGUGGACCGAAGCUAUCUCAGCCAGUUGACGAGAACGGACUUUUAA
rnacentral:lncRNA from 1 species